GUGACCAAUUGAGAUGUGUUGGAAUGAGUAGAAAUGCAAUUCAAUUCGGAUUGGAGAGUAUUCACAUUUAGGCAAUGUGACCUAGGUCCUUUUUAGGGACUAAAACUGUAAUUUUGUUAACCCAAUUGGUAUGAGGCUAAUUGAAGAUGAAAAUAGAUACAUAAUGACACAUUUUUCAUGUAGAAACCAUGCCUAGAAAGUAACUCUAAGUUAGUGAACAAUAAGGUCAAACCCGAAAUUGGCACACUGACACUGUAUAAAAAUGAUCAAAUGUCUGUUCAUUUGGCCAUAUCUUGGUCUAAGAAUGUCCAAAUGA
rnacentral:misc_RNA from 1 species